rnacentral:rRNA from 1 species
CCUACGGGAGGCAGCAGUGGGGAAUAUUGGGCAAUGGGCGCAAGCCUGACCCAGCAACGCCGCGUGAAGGAAGAAGGCUUUCGGGUUGUAAACUUCUUUUCUCAGGGACGAAGAAUGUGACGGUACCUGAGGAAUAAGCUACGGCUAACUACGUGCCAGCAGCCGCGGUAAUACGUAGGUGGCAAGCGUUAUCCGGAUUUACUGGGUGUAAAGGGCGUGUAGGCGGAACUGCAAGUCAGGUGUGAAAACCACGGGCUCAACCUGUGACCUGCAUUUGAAACUGUAGUUCUGGAGUGCUGGAGAGGCAGACGGAAUUCCUGGUGUAGCGGUGAAAUGCGUAGAUAUUAGGAGGAACACCAGUGGCGAAGGCGAUCUGCUGGACAGCAACUGACGCUGAGGCGCGAAAGCGUGGGGAGCAAACAGGAUUAGAUACCCGAGUAGUC